GGUUACGUUUAGUAAGUAAGCUUUCCUUAGGCACUCAUUACGGGCUGAUUAGACGAUCAGUGUGUGUUCUGCAUUUUGGUUCCUACAUCUAUAGAACUGCAGUGUGUUGUGGGGGCGCAGUCGUUAUGAGGUGCACUCUUUGCCGAUAGCAAUUGCUCAGACACACAAACACUUCAAACACGCGAGCACAACGGGAUCUCAUUUAAAGCAUGUAUAUUUCAGAAUUUCAUUUGCAAAAACGACAAGCAUAAGACAGCAUCAUCGUGAGCACAGGACUUUGUAUCGCAUCACCUCGACUGAAGAGCCGAACACACAGGGUUUCCUUUAUCCCCGAACGUAACAACAAGUAAACACUCCACUGGAGAUGUGUAAAAAAAAUUGUGACACAAUUUCGAGAAAUUACAGUUCACACAUUACACACUGAACACACAUGACCCCCCCCCCCCCCCUCCCCCCCCCCACACACC